rnacentral:rRNA from 1 species
UACGUAGGGGCCGAGCGUUGUCCGGAGUUAUUGGGCGUAAAGCGCGCGCAGGCGGCUUCGCGCGUCCGACGUGAAAGCCCCCGGCUUAACCGGGGAGGGUCGUUGGGUACGGCGGAGCUUGAGGGCGGGAGAGGGUGGUGGAAUUCCCGGUGUAGUGGUGAAAUGCGUAGAGAUCGGGAGGAACACCUGUGGCGAAGGCGGCCACCUGGGCCGACCCUGACGCUGAGGCGCGAAGGCGUGGGGAGCGAACGGGAUUAGAUACCCCGGUAGUCCACGCAGUAAACGAUGCAGACUAGGCGUAGGUGGACUUGACCCCAUCUGUGCCGGAGCUAACGCGGUAAGUCUGCCGCCUGGGGAGUACGGCCGCAAGGCUAAA